rnacentral:misc_RNA from 1 species
CACAGACACUGUACAAAGUGAAAACCCAAAAUUAAUCGGAAGCUUACGAGAGACGCCCUCCAAAAGACCCAGAGAUUCUUCCUGCGACUCUUGCGCACGUACCUAUAUAUAAGCGAGAGCGAGUGCGAGUGCGAGUGAGAGUAUCUGCUCUUCUUUCUGACACAGAUAGAGAAAGAGAGAGCAAUGGCGACCCCUCCAAAGCCAUGGAAGGCGGAGUACGCGAAGUCCGGCCGAUCAUCAUGCAAGACCUGCAAGAAACCAAUCGAUAAAGAGAGUCUCAGACUUGGCAAAAUGGUCCAAGCCACUCAAUUCGACGGUUUCAUGCCUAUGUGGAACCAUGUUGGUUGCAUACUGAAGAAAGCAAAACAGAUAAAAUCGAUUGAUGACGUUGAAGGUAUAGAAUCAUUACGAUGGGAAGAUCAGCAAAACAUCAGAAAAUAUGUUGAGGGUGGUGGUUCCUCAAAUACAAAUGCUGUCAGUGCUAUGGAAUAUGGUAUUGAAGUUUCACAAACUUCUCGUGCUACUUGCAGGCGCUGCAACCAAAAGAUUAUGAAGGGACAGGUUCGUUUAUCCUCGAAGCCUGAAGAGCCACGAGCUAAGGGGUUGGCUUGGCAUCACUUCACCUGUUUUGUGGAUUUGUACCCAUCUAUCCAAGUGGAGAAGUUGUCUGGAUGGGAAAGUCUCCCACCUGCUGAUCAAGCAGCAGUUCAUGCACUUGUUAAGGACGUUCCUUCUACUGCAAAGAGUGGUGCUGUUGAGGGAAAAGAGGAUAAAGAAUUGCAACAAUCGACUUCCAGAGUUGGUAUAAAACGUAGAAAAGAUAGUGGUGAUGGUGAUGAUCAAAACUCAAAGGUUGCUAAGGCCGAUGGAGAUGUGUCAACUCGCAGGUCUGCAUCUACAAAGACUGCUAAGGAAUUGGAAAGCAAACUGGAGGCUCAAUCUAAAGAAUUGUGGGCUUUAAAGGAUAAUCUUAGAAAGCAUGUCACAACUGCAGAGUUGCGUCAAAUGCUUGAAGCAAAUGAUCAAGAUUCUUCUGGAGCAGAACUUGAUUUGCGGGACAGAUGUGCUGACGGGAUGAUGUUUGGAGCACUUGGUCAUUGCCCGAUCUGUUCUGGUUUUCUCCGAUAUUCUGGAGGAACAUAUCGGUGCAAUGGAUUCCUGUCAGAAUGGAGCAAAUGUUCAUAUUCCACUCAUGAACCAGAGCGCCUAAAGGGGAAGUGGAAAGUCCCAGAAGACACAAAUAAUCAAUAUCUAAGCAAUUGGUUUAAAUCACAGAAGAGUAACAAACCUGCUAGGGUUCUGCCUCCACCAUCAUCUGAGAAUUCUUCUGGAACUCAAGCAGCCAACAGCCAAUCUCCAUCUUCAAAGAGUGAAAAUUUGAGAGAUCUGAAAGUUGCUUUUGCCGGAUUACCUAGGGAGUCUGUGGAAGAAUGGAAGGCCAAAAUUGAGGGAGUAGGCGGGCAGGUACAUGCCAAGAUAAAGAAAGAUACAAACUGCUUUAUUGUAAGUGGAGUAUCAGAUUGUGAAGAUGCUGAGAUGAGGAAGGCAAGGAGAAUGAAAUUGCCAAUGGUCAGGGAGGAUUACCUUGUUGAAUGUUUUAAAAAACACAAAAAGCUUCCAUUUAAUUUGUACAAAGUGGAAGCUGUAGGUGGAGCCUCUAGCAUGGUCACUGUCAAAGUGAAAGGGCGAAGUGCUGUGCAUGAAGCUUCUGGUUUGCAAGAUACAGGUCACAUUCUUGAGGAUGGGAAGAGCAUCUAUAAUACUACUUUGAACAUGUCUGACUUAUCAACUGGUGUUAACAGCUACUACAUCCUUCAGAUAAUCCAAGAUGACAAAGGGUCAGAUUGUCACGUGUUCCGUAAAUGGGGUCGUGUAGGGAAUGACAAAAUUGGAGGAAUUAAACUUGAAGAGAUGUCAAAAUCAGAUGCGGUCAGUGAAUUUGAACGUUUAUUCCUUGAGAAAACUGGAAAUUCAUGGGAGGCAUGGGAACAAAAGCAGAAUUUUCAGAAGAAACCUGGCAAAUUCUUCCCAUUGGAUAUUGAACUGCUUUUUUUAAUCUUUUAAUUUGCUUUAUUUUCAUUCUUUGGAAUGCUCCUACUUAGCUAGAAGGUAAUCAUUUCUUCUAGUUAUUCUUAACUGGCUGCAUUUUAGGACUACGGAGUCGAUGGAUAGCUGACAAACAAAAAGAGGAGGGAUGCAGACGGCUGUGGAAGCAUACAGGUAUAGCAACAGUCAUCUUUUUCCCUUUUUUUGUAAUUUUUGUCUGAAAUACGAAAUCUAAUAUUGUGCAGGGCUGCAAUGAUUGAAUUUGAGAUUAAUAUGUCAGAAAUGCCACUUGGGAAAUUAAGCAAAAAUAAUAUCCAGAAGGGUUUUGAGGCAUUGACAGAAAUCCAGAGUUUAUUAAAUAGUACCACACAUGACCCUUCCAUCAAAGAAAGCUUGAUUAUUGACGCCAGCAACAGAUUUUUCACUGUUAUCCCUUCUAUUCAUCCUCAUGUUAUUAGAGAUGAAGAUGAUUUUAAGUUGAAGGUGAAAAUGUUAGAAGCACUCCAGGAUAUUGAGAUAGCUUCCAGAUUAGUGGGUUUCGAUGCUGAUAACGAUGACUCCUUUGAUGAUAAGUACAGGAAGCUUCAUUGUGAGAUAAAUCCACUUCCUCAUGAUAGUGAGGAUUACCGGUUGAUUGAGAAGUACCUUCAUAAUACUCAUGCUCCUACUCAUACGGAUUGGAGUCUUGAACUGGAAGAAGUUUUUUCACUAGAAAGGAAAGGGGAAAUUGAUAAGUUUGCUCCCUACAGAAAAAAGCUCAAGAAUAGAAUGCUACUCUGGCAUGGUUCUCGGUUGACUAACUUCGUGGGAAUACUUAGCCAAGGACUUAGAAUAGCUCCUCCUGAAGCUCCAGCAACUGGAUAUAUGUUUGGUAAAGGAAUUUACUUUGCUGACCUGGUUAGUAAGAGUGCUCAGUACUGCUAUACUGAUAAGAAAAAUCCAGUGGGAUUAAUGCUUCUUAGUGAAGUUGCCUUAGGAGAGGUCUGUGAGCUGAAGAAUGCCAUGUAUAUGGACAAACCUCCUGAAGGAAAGCAUUCAACAAAAGGACUUGGCAAGAAAGUACCUCAGGAGUCGGAAUUUGUGAAGUGGAGCGAUGAUGUCAUUGUUCCUUGUGGUAAACCAGUGCCAUCAAAAGUCAAGGUCUCUGAGCUGAUGUAUAAUGAGUACAUUGUCUAUAAUACAGCUCAAGUUAAGAUGCAGUUCUUGUUGAAGGUUAGGUUUCAUCAUAAGAGGUGAUGUUUCCUAGUGCCGAGGGGUUAGAAUGAGAUGCAGUUCUUGUUGAAGGUUAGGUUUCAUCAUAAGAGGUGAUGUUUCCUAGUGCCGAGGGGUUAGAAUGAGAUGCAGUUCUUGUUGAAGGUUAGGUUUCAUCACAAGGGGUGAUAUUUCCUGGUGCUUAGGGGGUAGAAUGGCAUGCAAGUAGAUUAUUAUUUUGAAAUCCGGCCUGUAUUCUGCAAGCAGAUUUAUGUCUAGAUAAGGUCUCAUUUUGGAGAGAAGUAAAAACUUGGGUUUUGUCUAUGUAAAUAGUAUGAGCAUGGUGGAAUGUUUAAAUAGAAUAUUUUCAGAAGAAUAUCAGCUUUUAUAUUAAGCGGUUAUUAUGCCUUUAUGGGGUAUUGUCUUAGAUGGAGCAGGAUUUUCAUAGCCAUGCAAGCGUAUGAGCACCUGGGCCUCAUGGAAAUGUGAUGUUUAGUAAGUUAACCCACUCUUCAUUUUAUGGAACAAACAGGUGGCGAUUACCAUCCGUCGUAAUGAGCUUUGUCAGUAAGAUCCAUGCCUCUAUAAAUAUCGAGCUAUUUCUUGAAACAGCUUUUAGACGGUAGCCAGGGGUUGCUGUUGAUGUCCACCUAAGAAUUAGGACUAACUGGAACCAACACGAUGUUUGUGGAAUCUUUACUGGACGUUUGCGUAUGUAUUGUCUUUGUUUAUGUUGAGUAAUUUGUCCGAAUUUAAGAUCAA